AGGAGAAGAACAAAAAGAGGAGGAGAUAUAUAUAAAUUAAUUGCAAGCCACAAACUGCUGUUAAUCGUAAUAAUAGACAGUUAUACGAGGAAGCAUAAAGUUCAAAGGAGGAGGAGGAGGGGGAGGAGGAGGAGGAGCACAGUGUCAUUAUAACCACAAGGCAGUCCAGGAUUCCAAGAUCAUUCCAAAAAUUAUCCCCAUUGCAUGUCAUUCCGAUAUUUCCCGAUCAUCGCCUUAAUAGUAUAUACCAGAAAUAACCGCCACCAUUAUUUUCAUUCCCUUAAAAGUAAAAAUCAAUAUAUAAUGUAAAAUUACCUUACUGAGAAAACCACCAGUAUUUCCAGCAGGUCAGAAUCAGAAUAAGAAUAAAAAGAGGAAGUUCGGAGCAGAGGAAAUAAAUCACACCAUGGAUUAUCAAAGAAAAGAAGAGAGCAGGAGAGAGAAAAAUGAGAAGAGGGAAUAAAAAUAAAAAAAGAACGUCCAGAAGAGAGAAAAAAUAAAUGACACCAUAGUUAGUCAAAGAGAAUGAAGAGAGAAGAGAGAGAAACUAAGAAGGGAGCGAGAGAGAACAAAAAUUAAAUAAGAAUACUCACCCGGAUAAGUCAAAUGAGAGAGAGAGAGGAGAGGAAGAGAAGAAGGAAAGGAAGAAGAAGAGAUGAGGAAAGGGAGAGAAUGGUGAGAGUGAGCGAAAGAGAGAGAGAGACGAGAGCAAGAAAAUAAAAAUUAAAUAAGAAUACUCACCCGGAUAAGUCAAAUGAGAGACUCUGGUUAGAUGUCAAAUGAGAAACUAUGAAAUUACAAGAAACUACAGGAUUGGGGAUGGAGACGUAUAUUGUAAAAACAGGCACAUCUACAAGGGGCGGAGCAAGCCACAACACUCUACACAGCCAGCCCUACUACACCACACACACAUACGCAUACACAAACACACACACACGGACACAUGCACAAACACAUGCAACUAAGGAAUACAAUUAUGACAAGCCAUACGGAAGGUCAUGUUUGUUGAUUUGUAUGCAUAUUCCGAUUAAUACGUGAAAGGAGAAGAAAUAUACGCACUCCGAGAAACUGAAAUGAGAUGAAGAUGAAAAUUUCCGUUGAGUAUAAAUUCAUAAACUCCGAUGAUUUUUUUCCUUUAUACUUCAUUUUGAUUUUCCGGAGUCUAUAUAUUUCCGAGUCCUGUGAGUACUAAUAGGAGCGAUGCGUACAAAUUAGCAAAAAGGCCCUACUCACACACGUCAUCAUCAUCAUCAUCAUUAGCCAAGUACUACAGAAACAUAUGAAAGACAAACAAACAAACAAAUAAUCAGACAAAAUCAAACAGAAUCAGUGUGUGGCAAAAUAAAUGUAGCAAAAAGUGUGUAUUAACAAAUCAAACGUUCAUGCCAAAGAAGUUGAUAAAAAAAAGGUGUUUGACUGAUAUAUAUAAAAAGGGGAAUGGUAAAAAAGGACAUGCUAAUAAUAAAAAUAAAGGACAAUAAAAGCAUAAGGUUGAUCAUUCUUAAACUGAAACAAAAGAUAAAUGUAUAUACAAGAUAAUUAUGUACAUUUGGAAAGGAAGUGAAUCAUAACAGAAGGUUUUGUAUGUGAGUAAAUUAAUGGGAAGUGAGACAAAAUUAAUAGAACUUGUCAAUAUAAAAGUAUAAAAGUAAACCUAAAUGAGUGAGAUAAAACUUGAAUGAGAAUGGAAGACCUUAUAAAAAACUAAAUGAAAUGGAACAAUAACAAAAGUGAUGAGACUAAAUGAUCGGAAAAUAAUAAAAAAAAAAUGAAAUGAAAACAGAAAACUUAAAACUACAUGAAACUGCAAAAAAUAACAAAACUCAUAAAACUACUGAAUAAAAAAGUAAAAAAUCAACUAAAACUAAAGGAAUGAGGAGAGGAACUAAGAAAUAACAAGUUAUCAUCAACCUACAAAUAAAUGACUCAAAUGUUGUACUCCAAAAAAUACCCAAAAAGAGAUUAUGCUAUCCUCUCUCAAAUCUCAUUAUUACCAACACCUGCCACUCCUUCACACCUUUACCUGGCAACACUGAUGAGAGAAAACUAGCCCGUAUUCUUAACCCGGUAGCUGCGGGGAUCAUGUUUCUUAAUGGUCCCUCUAAGCGAGAAAAUGAGAAAAAAUCAACACUCACACAAACCAUUUCAUAAUAUAUAUCAAAGCAGUUGUGAUCAGUUCAUGUAUCAUCUAUUUUGUGGGGUUUAUAUCAGUCCACAAAUUUGGCCCAUCGCUGCUACACAGUAAAGCCACAAAUUUGGCCCAUCACUGCUACACGGUAAAGCCACAAAUUUGGCCCAUCGCUGCUACACAGUAAAGCCACAAAUUUGGCCCAUCGCUGUUACACGGUAAAGCCACAAAUUUGGCCCGUCGUUGCUACCGGGUUAAAUGUCUCAGCACCUCAUAUUACCAGUUUGAAAAGCCCCUCGCGCAAGUUGCUGGGAUUUCUAUAGACUGUUUUGUGAUCCUAGUGAUAGUUUAUGUGACUUCUGCACACUGAAUGGGACAAUCACCCAUGAAAAUCCAUUGCUCUUCUCUGUGGGCUUGGAAAAUAGUCGUACUGGGAACCAAAAAAAGUUUAACCCGGUAGCAGCGACGGGCCAAAUUUGUGGGUGGACAUAACCCCCAAAAUAGAGGAUGCAUAAACUGAUCACAAACGCGUUGAUAUCUAUUAUAUAAUGAUCUGCGUGAGUGAUGAUUUUUUCUCAUUAAUUCGCUUAGAGGACCCUUUGAGAAACAUGAUCCCCGCAGCUAUCGGGUUAAAAAUAUGAACCUUCACACCUAUGCAGCUUAAUUCACUAUGGCCACUGUGACACCCAGAAGAGCUGACUAAAAAAUAUAUACAUAAAAUAAAUUGUAUCUAGCUCAUUUUUAUUUAACUGAGAGAAUCGAUAACAUAAAAAAAUGCAACCUGACUACAUACCCUGAUGAUCUAUAACACACACACACACACACACACACACACACACACACACACAUUACAGCACCGUUUAAAUCCAUGACCAUAUUUCAGUAUUAUAAAUUUCUAUCCUUUAUAAAUGACACAUAAUCUAAAACUGGCUCAAAAACAGCACAGGUGAGGUAAGCGUACAGGUGACCUAGCAACAUUACACCUAAAUGAGCAAAUGAGAAACACCUACGCAUGUACACACACUCAUACCUACACAUGUAUGCACACAGUCACCACCACACACACACACACGACUGCAUAACACUGUGCUUCAUUAAAAAGUGCAAGACUGACCCACAGACUUGUACAGACAGGUGUGGCAAGUAGCAAUCCACAGGUGAGGGACCCAAUUGUAAGUAAAAAUGGGAAAUAUGAAUGCAAAAUGAUAAGUGAUGAAUCAAAGAGAAAUGAGUUGAAGGUUAAGGCUAUACAGAUAAGAUCAGGCACUAAACAGCAUUCAUGGACAAUUUAAUAAGGAGGAAACGUGCUUUGAAGAUGGGAAAGUAAAGAGAAAAACUGAUAUAAAGACAUAAGUAAAAAAAAAUCUACAGCAAGCACAUACACACACACAAAAAAUAAAAAAACACGCAAAACUACACCACAACACACACACACACACACACACACACACACAC